rnacentral:lncRNA from 1 species
GUUAAAGGGAAUGGGUCUCGGAAGCCGAGGGUCUGAAGUUCAAGACUCCUAGAAGGGGAGGGGAAUGAAAGCCACUCAGUGAAGAAGGUAAAACAAAUACAGUCUAUCUCUGACUUACAAUGGUUCGCCCUAAGAUUUUUGGACUUCAUGAUGGUGUGAAAGCAAUAUGAAUUCAGUAGAAACCGAACUUCAAAUUUUUGAAUUUUCCUCUGUUCCCAAGCUAGGGAUGUACUAUUGGAUACGCUCGGAUACCCUCUUGUAUGCUGGACAGUGGCAGCAAGCAGCUCCCAGUCGGCCAUGCAAUCAGGAGGGUAAACAAUGGACACACUUCCAAUUAUUCCGGACCCAGACGACCAUUCCUCUUUCACCUUCAGUACAGUAUUUGAUGAAUUGCAUGAGAUAUCGAACACUUCAUUAUAAAAUAGGCUUUGUGGGAGUUCCCGUCAUGGCGCAGUGGUUAAUGAAUCCGACUAGGAACCAUGAGGUUGCGGGUUUGGUCCCUGUCCUUGCUCAGUGGGUUGAGGAUCCGGCGGUGUCGUGAGCUGUGGUGUAGGUUGCAGAUGCAGCUCGGAUCCUGCAUUGCUGUGGCUGUGGCAUAGGCCGGUGGCUGCAGCUCUGAUUCGACCCCUGGCCUGGGAACCUCCAUAUGCCGCUGGAUUGGCUCAAGAAAUAGCAAAAAGACAAAAAAAAAAAAAAAA